rnacentral:tRNA from 1 species
AAUGAUAUGCCCGAAUAAAGGAUUAUUUUGAUAGAAUAAAUCAUGCAAAUUUUGCUAUCAUUA